UUGAGUUGCCAAUUCAAGAGACUCCUCAUCCAAGUAAACCCCCUGAUCUGAAAGAGCAAAUGUUAGUAGAUACAAGGGGUAAAGAGGAUAUGAAGGAAAAUCAGGAAUGCUGGUAUGACAUGGAAUCAAGUGAUAGAGAGAGUAGACAGGGUGCUAAUGGUGAAGGCGACACGAGAAAGCCCAAUGCAUAAUGCCCAGGUACAAGCACAGCGAUUAAUUUCAAAUGGAAAUUAAUUUGGAGACUUAAUGUACCAGAAAACCUUAAAACACUACUUUGGUUGAUUGCUAAUGAAGCUGUGCAUACAAAAUCCCUCAGACACAGACGUGGUUUGAGUGAGGAAGCUUGCUGUCCGAGAGGUUGCAUGGAUGAGGAGAGUAUACUUCACCUUUUUAGAGAUUGCAAGGAGGUGGAAUUCAAGUGGAGGAUGCUGAUCAAUGUGGAUAAAUGGAAUGAGCUCAAGAGAGGCAACACGCAAGAACGGCUUGAAUGGAAUCUAAAAGCUGAUGCAAGAAACUUAUAGGUGAAUCUACUUCCUUGGUGUCAAAUGUUUACUUACAUGUGUUGGGACCUAUGGCUUGACCAAUGCUAAUAGGCCUUCAACAGAGAAGAAUACCAAGGUGCUGCUUCUGCUAACAAAAGUAUCUUCAAGGCUAAACAAGCUUUUCAGACGUUUAACAUGCUGGAAGGAAACCUUUCUGAUAGGAAAUGUCGUAAUGACCCUCAUAUGCAACACCAAAAGUUUCCAUGUCACUUAGUUAGAGGGGAAACCUGUCAAAAUGAUAUGUCUAUUAGGGCUGGAAUUAUUAAGGGUCAAGAUUAGGAGUGGGUUUAUGGAUUUAAUGCCGUUAAUGUGUUCUUUGCACAUGACAUCGCUGUAAUUAAUGCUAUCAGAAUGGGUUUACAAGCUUGCGCGAACAGGGGAAUUCAAAAUGCGGAAGUCUAUGUUCAGGAUGCCCAAUGUUACAACCUCCUUACAUGUGAUAAUCUGAUUGGCCAUCCUU